AUUGAACGCUGGCGGCAGGCUUAACACAUGCAAGUCGAGCGAGCGGCGGACGGGUGAGUCAUGUCUGGGAAACUGCCAGAUGGAGGGGGAUACCUACUGGAAACGGUAGCUAAUACCGCAUACCAUCAGAUGUGCCCAGAUGGGAUUAGCUAGUAGGUGGGGUAAUGGCUCACCUAGGCGACGAUCCCUAGCUGGUCUGAGAGGAUGACCAGACACAAUGGAACUGAGACGAGGUACAGAGUCCUACGGGAGGCAGCAGUGGGGAAUAUUGCACAAUAGGCGCAAGACUGAUGCAGCCAUGCCGCGUGUGUGAAGAAGGCCUUCGGGUUGUAAAACACUAUCAGCGAGGAGGCGUUACUCACAGAGGAAGCACCGGCUAACUCCGUGCCAGCAGCCGAGGUAAUUC
rnacentral:rRNA from 1 species